UACGGGGGGGGCAAGCGUUGUUCGGAAUUACUGGGCGUAAAGGGCUCGUAGGCGGCCAACUAAGUCAGACGUGAAAUCCCUCGGCUUAACCGGGGAACUGCAUCUGAUACUGGAUGGCUUGAGUUUGGGAGAGGGAUGCGGAAUUCCAGGUGUAGCGGUGAAAUGCGUAGAUAUCUGGAGGAACACCGGUGGCGAAGGCGGUAUCCUGGACCAACACUGACGCUGAGGAGCGAAAGCCAGGGGGGCAAACGGG
rnacentral:rRNA from 1 species